CUUCAGGUAGCAAUACUUGGAGCAAGUGGCGAAAGGGGCAGUAAUGCAUGGGCAAUCUACCUCGGGGACGUGGAUAGCUAUUCUAACGAGUAGGUAAUACACGGCGAUUCGGCGGAGUGGCAUCACUUUGCCGGGAAAUGAAUUUCGCCUCGGGAGGAGCUCAUGUCGUAUUAGGUAGUUGGCGGGGUAAUGGCCCACCAAGCCUCAGAUGCGUAGCGGGUGUGAGAGCACGACCCGCGCCACUGGCACUGAGACACUGGCCAGACACCUACGGGUGGCUGCAGUCGAGGAUCUUCGGCAAUGAGCGCAAGCUUGACCGAGCGACGCCGCGUGUGCGACGAAGGCCUUCGGGUUGUAAAGCACUGUCGAGGGGGAGGAAAGCCGAAAGGUCUGACCUAUCCCUGGAGGAAGCACGGGCUAAGUUCGUGCCAGCAGCCGCGGUAAGACGAACCGUGCGAACGUUGUUCGGAAUCACUGGGCUUAAAGGGCGCGUAGGCGGGCCAUAAAGUCAAGGGUGAAAUCCCCCAGCUUAACUGGGGAACUGCCUUUGAUACUGAUGGUCUCGAGUAAGGUAGGGGCAUGCGGAACUGAUGGUGGAGCGGUGAAAUGUGUUGAUAUCAUCAGGAACUCCGGUGGCGAAGGCGGCAUGCUGGACCUUCACUGACGCUGAGGCGCGAAAGCUAGGGGAGCGAACGGGAUUAGAUACCCCGGUAGUCCUAGCCCUAAACGAUGAGUACUAGGUUGUAGUCUUGACAUGGGAUUACAGCCGGAGCAAAAGUGCUAAGUACU
rnacentral:rRNA from 1 species